rnacentral:rRNA from 1 species
GAAGGCGGCCCCCUGGACAAAGACUGACGCUCAGGUGCGAAAGCGUGGGGAGCAAACAGGAUUAGAUACCCUGGUAGUCCACGCCGUAAACGAUGUCUACUUGGAGGUUGUGCCCUUGAGGCGUGGCUUCCGGAGCUAACGCGUUAAGUAGACCGCCUGGGGAGUACGGCCGCAAGGUUAAAACUCAAAUGAAUUGACGGGGGCCCGCACAAGCGGUGGAGCAUGUGGUUUAAUUCGAUGCAACGCGAAGAACC